AGGGAUUUAGCUCAGUGACACAAGCACCUGCCUGGCAAGCACGAGGUUGUGGGUUCAAUCCCCAGUAUCCCCA
rnacentral:tRNA from 1 species